rnacentral:rRNA from 1 species
AGAGUUUGAUUAUGGCUCAGGAUGAACGCUAGCUACAGGCUUAACACAUGCAAGUCGAGGGGCAGCAUUGGAGUAGCAAUACUCAGAUGGCGACCGGCGCACGGGUGAGUAACACGUAUCCAACCUGCCGCUUACUCGGGGAUAGCCUUUCGAAAGAAAGAUUAAUACCCGAUGGUAUAAAGAGUUCGCAUGUUCUCUUUAUUAAAGAAUUUCGGUAAGCGAUGGGGAUGCGUUCCAUUAGAUAGUUGGCGGGGUAACGGCCCACCAAGUCUACGAUGGAUAGGGGUUCUGAGAGGAAGGUCCCCCACAUUGGAACUGAGACACGGUCCAAACUCCUACGGGAGGACAGCAGUGAGGAAUAUUGGUCAAUGGACGAGAGUCUGAACCAGCCCCAAGUAGCGUGAAGGAUGACUGCCCUAUGGGUUGUAAACUUCUUUUAUAAGGGAAUAAAGUGAGGGACGUGUCCCUUUUUGUACGUACCUUAUGAAUAAGGAUCGGCUAACUCCGUGCCAGCCGCCGC